rnacentral:rRNA from 1 species
GACAGAGGGUGCAAACGUUGUUCGGAAUUACUGGGCGUAAAGCGUGUGUAGGCGGUCCUGUAAGUCGGGUGUGAAAGCCCUGGGCUCAACCCAGGAAGUGCACUCGAAACUGCGGGGCUAGAGUACUGGAGAGGUUGGUGGAAUUCUCGGUGUAGAGGUGAAAUUCGUAGAUAUCGAGAGGAACACCGGUGGCGAAGGCGGCCAACUGGACAGAUACUGACGCUGAGACGCGAAAGCGUGGGGAGCAAACAGG